CUGAGCAUAUGCUGCCUCUCACACGAAGAUGAGAAGUGCACAAGAUGCUGCUUACAAGAUGAGUAGUGCACACGCUGCCUUUCGCACGAAGAAGAACAGAGCACAAGAUGCUUAUAUGAAAAGCAGCACAAGAUGCCCUCGUAUGAAGAGCAAAAUGAACAUACCGUCGUAAGGCCUUAGAUCGGCCUAAGCUCAAAAGACAUU
rnacentral:lncRNA from 1 species